AAACCGGUGUUCUUUAACACCACCAAAUUAAGCACAAAGUCUUAA
rfam:Volvox carteri f. nagariensis unplaced genomic scaffold VOLCAscaffold_1, whole genome shotgun sequence.